CGACCUAUGGUGACAGAACUCGCAUGCCUAAACCUUGAUAAAACUGAGGCUUUUUGCUUCUCUUUCAACACUUCUUGGGAGGAUCCAAAGGGGCUAAAAGAUUCAUGAUAGAAUGUCGAACCUGAUGUAUUGUCUAGCACUCUUCUUGAUACUCCAUGAAACCAAAUCUUGAAUUUGUUUUUUGUUCUUGAUUACCAGGUAUUACUGAAGUAUGGUGACAGG
rnacentral:misc_RNA from 1 species